rnacentral:rRNA from 1 species
AAUGAACGUUGGCGGCGUGGAUUAGGCAUGCAAGUCGAGCGAGAACCGUAGCAAUACGGGGAAAGCGGCGAAAGGGAGAGGAACACGUGGGUACCUACCCCUGGAUUCGGGAUAGUCGUGGGAAACUACGGGUAAUACCGAAUAACGUCUCCGGACCAAAGGUGAGAUUCCGUCCGGGGAGGGGCCCGCGUCCUAUUAGCUUGUUGGCGAGGUAACGGCUCACCAAGGCGAAGAUGGGUACGGGAUGUGAGAGCAUGAUCCCGCUCAUUGGGACUGAGACACUGCCCAGACACCUACGGGUGGCUGCAGUCGAGAAUCUUCGGCAAUGGGGGAAACCCUGACCGAGCGACGCCGCGUGCGGGAUGAAGGCCUUCGGGUUGUAAACCGCUGUCAGAGGGGAGGAAAUGCUGGUGGGUUCUCCCACCAGUUUGACCUAGCCUCAGAGGAAGGACGGGCUAAGUUCGUGCCAGCAGCCGCGGUAACAC